UAUCGGCAAAUACGUCAGCAUCCUGGA
rnacentral:piRNA from 1 species